AUUGAACGCUGGCGGCAGGCCUAACACAUGCAAGUCGAACGAGUGGCGGACGGGUGAGUAAUGGCUGGGAAACUGCCCGAUGGAGGGGGAUAACUGCUGGAAACGGUAGCUAAUACCGCAUACCAUCGGUUGGGCCCAGCUGGGAGUAGCUAGCAGGUGGGGUAAAGGCUCACCUAGGCGACGAUCCCUAGCUGGUCUGAGAGGCUGACCAGCCACACUGGAACUGAGACACGGUCCAGACUCCUACGGGAGGCAGCAGUGGGGAAUAUUGCACAAUGGGCGCAAGCCUGAUGCAGCCAUGCCGCGUGUAUGAAGAAGGCUUUCGGGUUGUAAAGUACUUUCAGCGAGGAGGCGUUACGCGCCGAAGAAGCACCGGCUAACUCCGUGCCAGCAGCCGCGGUAAUUC
rnacentral:rRNA from 1 species